UACGGAGGAUCCAAGCGUUAUCCGGAUUUACUGGGUUUAAAGGGUGCGUAGGCGGAUUGAUAAGUUAGAGGUGAAAUGUCCGAGCUUAACUCGGGAACUGCCUCUAAUACUGUUGAUCUAGAGAGUAGAUGCGGUAGGCGGAAUGUAUGGUGUAGCGGUGAAAUGCUUAGAGAUCAUACAGAACACCGAUUGCGAAGGCAGCUUACCAAUCUAUAUCUGACGUUGAGGCACGAAAGCGUGGGGAGCAAACAGG
rnacentral:rRNA from 1 species